GUGGGUGUGUUUUCCAUUACUCUUUCAUUUUACUUGGUUCGAUGCUUAAUGCUGUAGAAAUGGAUGCAUGAGUUGUUUCUUUCUAUAUGUGUUCAGUGAGCUUGUAGCGGACUUUCAUCCCAUCCUCAUCAAACACACGCAGACCCUUGUUCCGCCCCUUGUGGUUCUUUUCAGAUUUCAGGCAUGGCGGCAUCCCAAGUGGAAACAAGUGCUAAGACAAAAUCUGAAAAGGGUUAGGUUCGGGUAAGACAUGCCUUGCAUUGGGGCAGGGUGAGUGCACUGAAUAAUGAGUUGUCGGAACGACAGCUCCAUAAAUUGGAAACUACCCCAUUCAAUUUGAUGUUGUCUAGGAUGGGCACAAAAAACUAUCCGUGUCAGCAAUUUAUUGUUACUGGAGCUUGUGAGCCGGUAAAAAUUUCUUUCGAAUAUAUAUAUAUAAAUUUUGAUUGUGUUGAAUUAAUUUUUUUUUUUUUUGCCUUUUUUUACUGUAGUUGGAAACCAGAAUGUCGGUCAUUUCUAAUUCUAGAUAGAUUGAUCAAAUUU